AAAAUGGAGAGAGGUCCCAUACUUUGAAGGUUUUAGCCUUCUCGCCCAACACCCCGCCCUCUGCACUUCCUGCUCUUCCUCUCAGGUCCUCCUUGCUUGUAAACCCCUCCCUUGCCCUACUUCUUCCCCUGACUUCGCAGAUUCUUCCUCAUUUGACCCAGAAGAUGAACCCCCACCUUAUCCCCCAGCCCCAUCCGUCCCUCCUCUCCCGCUACACCCUCCACUUCUUCCGCCUGAUUCCACCGAUCCUCAGCCUUCCGUUUCAUCCCCCUCCCCCCCCGCUCUCUUCCACUGGUCCCACCUCCUCCUCCACUGAGACAUCCCCUUCCCCUCCCUCUACUUCCUGUCCCCCGCCAACUACCUCUUUCAGUCCUCCUGUCACCAGGUCUAAGGGACCCCCUCCUACUCCCAUGACGAUUGCAACCCUUCGUGAGGUAGCUGGUCCUGAGGUUGUUAUUAGAGUACAUGUGCCCUUCUCCAUGUCGGACAUUACUCAGUUAGAGAGGAAGUUAGGCUCAUUUACCACUGAUCCCACCACUUACAUUUAGGAGUUCCAAUGGGUCCUGCAGGCAUACAGCCUUACCCAUCACGACAUCUACAUGCUCCUGGCCAAUACACUUCUUCCUGGGGAAGGCGACGGGUCUGGGAGCUAGCCCAAGCCCAUGCUGAUGAAAAUCAUAGGACCAAUCCCAACCACCCCACAGGCCCUCAUGCUGUCCCAGAG
rnacentral:lncRNA from 1 species